UUGAAUUCUAUUUGAUCUAAAAUGAUUCCAUAUGAAUUUUUCACAUGUAUUUUAAUUCCUCCAAAAUUUCUUCCAUCAAAUUAAAUCCUUUUUCCCUCAUAAUUAUUUCAAAACUUAGAAAUUCAUAUCAUCAUCACAAAACUCAGAAAUUCAUCUUAGAAAUCCCUCCAUCUUCUUCAUCUUCAUAACCCAUAAAUUUUCUUCAUCUUCUUCCUCCUCGUCCUUCCUCCCCCACCCAAAACCACCAUCACCACCCAAACCCCCACCCAGAACCAAUUAGCAGCAGCAACAAUUGCUAUCCAUGGUCCUCGGCAACAAGUACCGUUCAUGGGCAAAAUAUCCAAAUCCUUCCAAUCAUACAUCCUCAUCUACGACAAUAAUUAAUUAUUCAUCAAACACAGUAAUUUUAAUUUCUUAUUCAACCACCACUACGACAAUAAUUUUAAUUUCUAAGUUUUUGGAGGAAGAUUGAAUUUCUAGGUUUUGAAAUAAUUAUGAGGGGAGAAGGACUUAAUUUGAUGGAAGAAAUUUUGGAGGAACUAAAAUAGAUGUGAAAAAUCUAUGUAAAACCAUUUUAGAUCAAAUAGAAUUUUAAAGAUUUAAAACCUUCGCAUUUUUUGUCCAUGUAUCAUUUUAGAUUCAUGCAUAUAAGUGAGGGACCAAACACAUAUUUAAUCCUAAAUAAAUUAAUAAAAAAAUAUAAAAAAUUCAAUCAAUUUUUCUUAAAUGUGAUUGGUCCACCUAGACUAUGGGUUAUUAAAC
rnacentral:lncRNA from 1 species